rnacentral:misc_RNA from 1 species
GAUGAAGAACGUAGCGAAAUGCGAUAAGUAAUGUGAAUUUCAGAAUUCAGUGAAUCAUCGAAUCUUUGAACGCAUCUUGCGCUCCUUGGUAUUCCUUGGAGCAUGCCUGUUUGAGUAUCAUGAGCAAACCUCAAAGUCAAUUCCUUUUGUUAAUUCAAUUGGUUUUGCUUUGGACUUGGAGGUCUUGCAGAUUUCACAGUCUGCUCCUCUUAAAUGCAUUAGCUGGAUCUCAGUAAUUAUGCUUGGUUCCACUCGGCGUGAUAAGUAUCACUCGCUGAGGACACUGUUAAAAAGGUGGCCAGGAAAAUACUGAUUGAACCGCUUCUAACGGUCUAUUAAGUUAGACAAUUACCCUUAAGUUUGAUCUCAAAUCAGGUAGGACUACCCGCUGAACUUAAGCAUAUCAAUAAGCGGAGGA